UAGCGAGAUAGAGGUGGGAAUCCUCUAGGCCGAAUAUCCAAGGUUUCCAGGGUAAAGCUGAUCUGCCCUGGGUAAGUCGGGGCCUAAGGUGAGGACGAGAGUCGUAGCCGAUGGACAACAGGUGGAGAUUCCUGUACUAUGAUAUGACAGAACUGUGGGGACACGUGCAGAGAGCGGAAGCCGGGAAUGGGAUCCCGGUGCAAGCGAGGUACCAGCCGCAUUGGAAAAACCGUGCGGCAAUGGGAAGACGUGAUGCGGAGUGAAGUUUAGUAAUGAAGUCCGUGAGCUGUGCGUCAAGAAAAGCCGCUAUUGUUCAUACCAUACCCGUACCGUAAACCGACACAGGUGGAUGAGGAGAGAAUCCUAAGGCCGGCGGAAGAAGCAUUGUCAAGGAACUCGGCAAAAUGACCCCGUAACUUCGGGAGAAGGGGUGCCUGCGAGAGCAGGCCGCAGAGAAUAGGCUCAAGCAACUGUUUAGCAAAAACACAGGUCUAUGCAAAACCGAAAGGUGAGGUAUAUGGGCUGACGCCUGCCCGGUGCUGGAAGGUUAAGAGGAGAGGUUAGCGCAAGCGAAGCUUUGAAUUUAAGCCCCAGUAAACGGCGGCCGUAACAAUAACGGUCCUAAGGUAGCGAAAUUCCUUGUCGGGUAAGUUCCGACCCGCACGAAAGGCGUAAUGAUUUGAGCGCUGUCUCGACAAUGCAUCCGGUGAAAUUGAAGUACCAGUGAAGAUGCUGGUUACCUGCGCCAGGACGGAAAGACCCCAUGGAGCUUUACUCCAGUUUGGUACUGGGAUCCGGUACUGCAUGUACAGGAUAGGUGGGAGGCUGAGAAUCGGUAACGCCAGUUGCCGAGGAGCCGCUGUUGGGAUACCACCCUUGCAGUAUUGGGUUUCUAACCAGCCGCCGUGUCCCGGCGGUGGGACAAUGCCAGACGGGGAGUUUGACUGGGGCGGUCGCCUCCGAAAGGGUAUCGGAGGCGCCCAAAGGUUCCCUCAGGAUGGACGGAAACCAUCCAAAGAGUGCAAAGGCAGAAGGGAGCUUGACUGCGACACCGACGGGUGGAGCAGGUACGAAAGUAGGGCUUAGUGAUCCGGUGGUAUUAAGUGGGAAUGCCAUCGCUCAACGGAUAAAAGCUACCCUGGGAUAACAGGCUUAUCACUCCCAAGAGUUCACAUCGACGGAGUGGUUUGGCACCUCGAUGUCGGCUCAUCGCAUCCUGGGGCUGUAGUAGGUCCCAAGGGUUGGGCUGUUCGCCCAUUAAAGCGGUACGCGAGCUGGGUUCAGAACGUCGUGAGACAGUUCGGUCCCUAUCCGGCGUGGGCGUAGGAUAUCUGAGAGGAGCUGUCCUUAGUACGAGAGGACCGGGAUGGACGGGCCGCUGGUGCAUCGGUUAGACUGCCAAGUCUAUAGCCGGGUAGCCAAGCCCGGAAGGGAUAAACGCUGAAGGCAUCUAAGCGUGAAGCCCCCCUCAAGAUGAGAUAUCCCAUCCGAAAGGAGUAAACCCCCUUGAAGACGACGAGGUCGAUAGGGCAGAGGUGGA
rnacentral:rRNA from 1 species